UGAAUACGAGACGCUAAGGCGUCGAAGUAGUGUAUGUCAUACUUCCAAGAAAAGCUUGCACUGUCAUAGAUAAAAAACGCCUGUACCAUAACCGACACAGGCGGGUAGGUAGAGUAUACUAAGGGGCGCGAGAUAACUCUCUCUAAGGAACUCGGCAAAAUAACUCCGUAACUUCGGGAGAAGGAGUGCCUUAUUCGUAAGGUUGCAAUAACAAGAUCCAAGCAACUGUUUAUCAAAAACACAGGUCUCCGCUAAGUCGUAAGACGAUGUAUGGGGGCUGACGCCUGCCCAGUGCCAGAAGGUUAAAGAAGUUGGUUAGCAAUUGCGAAGCUGAUAACUGAAGCCCUGGUGAACGGCGGCCGUAACUAUAACGGUCCUAAGGUAGCGAAAUUCCUUGUCGGGUAAGUUCCGACCCGCACGAAAGGCGUAAUGAUUUGGAUACUGUCUCGGAGAGGGGCUCGGUGAAAUAGACUUGUCUGUGAAGAUGCGGACUACCUGCACCAGGACAGAAAGACCCUAUGAAGCUUUACUGUAACUUGAAAUUGAAAUUGGAAUUUAUUCGCGCAGCAUAGGUGGGAGGCGUUGAUUAUAAUCUUGCGGGAUUAUUGGAGCCAUCAGUGAGAUACCACUCUUGUAAUGUUAGAUUUCUAACUUUGAAUCAUUAUCUGGUCAAAGAACAGUUUCAGGCGGGCAGUUUGACUGGGGCGGUCGCCUCCUAAACGGUAACGGAGGCGUACAAAGGUUUCCUCUGAACGGUUAGAAAUCGUAUCUAGAGUGUAAAGGCAUAAGGAAGCUUGACUGUGAGACCUACAAGUCGAGCAGGGACGAAAGUCGGUCUUAGUGAUCUGACGGUACUGAGUGGAAAGGCCGUCACUCAACGGAUAAAAGUUACUCUAAGGAUAACAGGCUGAUCUCCCCCAAGAGUUCACAUCGACGGGGAGGUUUGGCACCUCGAUGUCGGCUCAUCGCAUCCUGGGGCGGUAGUACGUCCCAAGGGUUGGGCUGUUCGCCCAUGAAAGCGGUACGCGAGCUGGGUUCAGAACGUCGUGAGACAGUUCGGUCCAUAUCCGGUGUAGGCGUUAGAAUAUUGAGAGGAGCCUUCUUUAGUACGAGAGGACCGAGAAGGACAUACCUCUGGUGUACCAGUUAUCGUGCCAACGGUAAACGCUGGGUAGCUAUGUAUGGAGUGGAUAACCGCUGAAAGCAUCUAAGUGGGAAGCCCACCUCAAGAUAAGUAUUCUCGCC
rnacentral:rRNA from 1 species